AUGAAAUGAAAUAAGUACUCAUGGCCAUAUAAUAAGUCAUACUAAACAAACAUACUACUUUCUAUUAAAUUAAUUUCGGUCGCAUCCUCUUGGGUCUCGUGUAGAAUACGCAUGUAAACGGGCCAAAAUAAACUAGUAUAGUGUUUGUGAGCGAGUGAAUUAUACGGUAGCUUAAAUUAAUUUAGGGUCGGUUUGUAGAAACUAAUAUAUUUUAUGAGUUUAUGCAAAUGCAAACGUUUAUAUAUAUAUAUAUAUAUAUUUUAAUAUUAAAUCUUGACGCAAAUGCAAACGUUUAUGAGAAGCUAAACUUCUGAAGUGAUAAGGCCGGUUUGGGGGUGGCACCAUCACCAUGAACGUGGCCCAAUAAUUUGAGCACAUAAAAAGUGAGGGGUCAAUAUGAUAUGAUAUGAUAUCAUCUUUAUGUUUGUCUUAUAUGAACAGCGCACACCCAAAGGGGGAGAUAGAUGAAAAUUAUGUCAUCCCACAAAAUCUGAGGCCCGUGUCUUAAGCCGAAAGUCAGUAUUUUACUCUUUGGCCCCACACACACAUGAAUCUUGUAAAUUAACCUUAAUUAAAUAAAAAUUAAAAAAGCGGCCGCAGCAAACGUUGUGCAAUAAUUAUUAAUAAUUAAAUAAUUGAAAAACUGAGACGCACAUGAUGCGAUGAUAGCAGGAUAGGAUAUCGCCACGCAGCGCAUUAUCUUUGAAUCAUUAACUAUUUACCAACUCCUUGUACUUACUUAAGUUAUGCUGUGCUUGUGCACACAAGAUUCUUUCUUGAAAAUUUAAUAUUAAGAGAGGGAGGGAAAUCCCUAACUUUGCUUUCCAUGAAGUAGGGAUAAAA
rnacentral:lncRNA from 1 species